CUUUCUAAUAGAGAAUAUUAUCUUUUCACUUUUUUCCUCAAAUUAAGAUGUUUUUAUUUUUAUAAUACUGAAAAACCAAACAGUCCGAAAAUAUUUAGAACCUAAAAUAGAGAGAAAAAUAUAUGGAAAAUUUUCCUUAGAACACUCCUUUCAUAUUUAGAGUCCUUUUUAAUAGCAAAAUAAAAAAAAAAUCCAACUCACGUUUCUAUUUAAGUGGGAAAAAAACCUAUCUCCUAGCAUGUGUUAUGCCUCACACAACUUUUGUUAUUACGUUUCUUUAGUAUAGGAUUUUUGGGGAUUUUUUUUUCUUUUUUCUUUAUUUAUCACUUUAUAUAUGUUUUAGUUUCAUGUCCUAAUGAUAUGAAGCUUUGUUUGUUUAAUAUUUUGUGUUAUGAGGAGAAGAAGUUAAUGCUAUCGAUAGCAAUUUGAAGUAUGAAUUUAAUUUAAAGAAUUAAAAAAACACAUUAGUUGAUAACUUUAAAGAUUAUAUAUGAAUUGUACAUAUUUAAUAACUGAUUUUCUUCUUUUGAUAAUUUCUCAUGUGUCUCUUUCAGUUGCAAAUUUCUUAUUGAAUAGUUGGACGAAACAAAUAAGUUGUUGCUGAUUGGAGUAGUCAAAAAAUUCAAAGGUUUAUUUCUUUUUUUUCUUGUUCUUUAUUUAAAUAAUUUUUUUUGUAAACCUCUCAAACUCUAAAGAUUUAUCAUAUAUCACGAUUUAUAGUUUUGAAAUAAUACGUUGAAUAGUUACUACAGAAUGAAAAUCUUAAAAAGUCAAAAAAAAGGCCUAUAUCUUUAAUUUGAAGUUCUUUUUACGUUCUUCACUUUUUCUUUACGGUUGGAAAGUGUUAAUGAUGAUGUUUAUGCUUAAAAAUGAAGACCACGACGAAGACGAAGAAAAUCAAAAUAAAGAAAUUGUUGAAGACAAUCAAUUCCGGGUGAGGUAACUCAACAUCAACUUUACAUGUAUGUUUUACAAUUAAAUGUAAAUUUCAAGGACAUGCAGUUUUUACAUGUAUUUGCUUUUGGUAAAAUAAAACCAAAUAGCUCUGGGACUUCUACAGACUCUGUUAGAAAAGUUAUUAGCUUAGAAGGCAAAAUAUAAUUUAAAUGAUGUAUCAUUGAAAAUAUUUUUUUUCUUUUUUUUAUUGUUUGAAAUCAAGUUUCUAUUAGAAACAAUUUUUCCUCCUUUUUGAGAAGGAGAUAAGAUCAUGAAAUUAUGACAACAAUUUUCAUGUAUUAUUAAAUUUACAUUGCCUAGCUAACAUAUCUAUUAAUAUCUACUUAAAUUUAAUCUUUCCUAAUCCAUCUACCUUGAUGAGUAUGUUUGUCGUGUUCUCAAUAGUGUGCUAAUAUACGCGAUUGCUUUAAGUGUUUUGUGGGCUUAAUUAUUAUUUAUUAUGUGCACGAUAUUCUAUUCUUUAUGCUUAUUAUGUGUGUGUACAAUUAAAAUUUCUAUAAGAAAUGUGAUGAACACUUUGUUAACACAUUGAUAACCUUUCGUUCAAUAUAUCAUCAUAGAUGUUUUUAUUGUCUUACGACUUUUAGUUAUAUUUUACUAUUAUUAUUUUAGAUAUAGCUUUGGAAUCUAAACCUUACUCGAAGGAAUUGGUGCCUUUAAAGGGUAAAAUUAUUUGAAAGAAUUUGUGUCUGAAAAGUAAUUAAUUGAUAUUCUUCUCUAAAAGUGAGUUUUGAUGAUUAAUUUGUAUUGUGAAAGAACACGAUAGAAUUGAAUUUAUAUGUAUUAUGAAAAUUUAUUGAAUUUGUUUUAGAAAAAUUAUUUGUUUUAGAAAAAUUAUGUUCAUUUAUAUGUAUCUAAUAUAUAUAAUUGGAGCAAUUCCUAGAGUUAUGAUUUAUUUUUUCAUAUUAAACAGUUGAAUGAAUUUAAUUUGAUAGAUGUAUAUUUCAAAUAGAUGGAGAUGAGCUACUAACAUGUUAAAAAAAAAAACUCUAAGAUACGUCAUGCAUUCCUUGGUGGAUUAGGACAAUUUCAAAUUAUACAAGGUGUAAGAAUUAUAUCUGAACAUGAUAUAUAUUUUUCGUUUAAAAAAGAAUGAUAUAUUUUAACUUGACAUGAAAUUUAAUAUAUUAAAGAAGAUAUUUGAAUUUUUUGAUCUUAAAUUAAAAUAAUGUCAAAUGUAUCAAAAUGUCAUUUAAUCUUAUGGUCUUAAAAAUGUCACGUAAAAAGUUAAAAUUAAAAUAUUAUCAAAAAAAUAACAACAACAAAUCCAGUGUAUUCCCACUAAGUGGGGUAUGGGGAGGAUAAAAUGUACGCAAUUCAUACCGCUACCUCCGAAGAAGUAGAGAGAUUGUUUUCGAUAAACCCCCGGCUCAAGAUAAAGAAUAGUAAAACAAGGUCAUAGUACUACAUGAAACAGAAUGUGUGGCAUAACCGAAAUAAGAAAUGAAAAAUAAUAAAAAUAGAGCUAAGGGAGACACGAAAAUAAGAGCAAUACUAAUAAAAAUAGGAGAUAAGAAAUAAGAAACGACCACCCCCAGUAGUCGCAAACACUAGCGGUUCCCACCAAUGAACAGAGUCCUAGGAUUACUAACCUGACUACACCAAAGCCCCCUAAAUACUCAUUACCACACACACACGCACUAACCUUCUACUCUUAUCCGUGACCUCCACACCUUCCUAUCUAGAGUCAUGUCCUCGGUAAGCUGAAGUAGCCUCAUGUCAUAUCUAAUCACUUCUCUCCAGUAUUUCUUCGGCCUACCUCUUCCCCUCCUGAAAUCAUCCAAAACUAGCCUCUCACACCUACGAACUAGGGCAUCCAUGCCCCUCCUUAUCACAUGCCUAAACCAUCUCAGCCUUCCUUCCCGCAUCUUGUCCUCCACCGAAGUCACUCCCACCUUUUCCCAGACAGUUUCAUUCCUAACUCUAUCCCCUCUAGUAAGUCCACACAUCCAACACAACAUUCUCAUUUUCGCUACCUUCAAUUUUUGAAUGUCGAAGUUCUUGACUGGCCAACACUUCACACCAUACUAUCAAUCAUUUUAAAAUAAUUCAUUUUAAAAUGGAAUAAAAAUAAUCUUAUUUUCUUACAUUUCUGUGUUAAAUAUUUUAUUUUCAGCCAAGAGUCAAAUAAUUUAUUUUAGUUAUGGCAAGGCUAAAUAUAAUUAAUAUUAUUUUGGGACUCAAUAACUACGAGUUUCACUGAUCUUUUUAUCUUCUAAAAGUAUUAAGAUAAUUUAGUACAAGGACUUGAACACUUCAAUUUAAAAAGGUCAAUAUUUCAUAUCGAAGGAGGGGAAUUAAAUUUUUAAUUUUUGUAUUGAAAUGUAAUAUUUAUUUAUAUCAUUUAAAUAGAUAUAAUAUUUAUUUAUAUAAUUUAAAUAUAUAUAAUAGUUAUUUAAAUUUUAAUUGCUACUUUUAGUAAUAUCUUUUUUCAUGUAUAUAUAAUUUUAUCAAUUAACAUAAAACACACGUGCAAAGUACAUGCCCUAUACUAGUUAACACAAUACAUCAGGAGGAGGCCUAACAACGUGCUCAACUCGAAAUUCACAGUACAGUUACAAAGUAUAAGUUAUUUAAAACUUAAUUUUCGUGGUUGGUGUACAUUCAUCGUUCUUACUAAGCAUAUUCCAAAUUUGUUGCUUAUCUUCUUCGCAUAAAUAUCCUUUUUGUUAUCUGUCUUGAGCCGGGGGUUUAUCGGAAACAACCUCUCUACUUCAUUUGAGAUAGUGGGAUGGACUGCGUACACUUUAUCCUCCCCAUACCCCACUUGAUGGAAUACACUGGGUAUGUUGUUGUUGUCUACUUUGAUAGAUUUCGUGAUUGGCUUAAUUUGAUUAAGCACUUUGUUAAAAUCUUUGUGAUUGGUGUUUAAUUAAUCAUGUAUGCUGUCACACGUGAAAAUUUUCCAAUUUUUGAUAUAUUUUUUUAAUAACAGGGGCAAUUGUGUUAGUUUCUAUGUCAUCUUGAAUUGGUUUAAUUACCUUUCUUUUGGCCAUUGGGAGUUGUAGAAGAUAAUGGAGGUUAAAAUUCAAUAACUACGUCUCUUACUGGGUCUAUUUCAUUCCAAUGCUAAAUUACGGAUGUAGUGUUUGGAAUGAGUACUAGUGACUUCAAAAUGAUUGAGUGUAGUCACUUAAGAAGUGGGUUAGCAACUUGAAAUGGAAACUUGUGUUUUGAUAUUAGUAAAGUGUAAUCACUUGAAAAUGUGAAUUAACGACUUGAAAUUGAUUUAGUGUCGACACUUGAAAUGUGAAUUCAUGAAUUGAACACGGUUAGGUUUAGUCACUUGAAAUGUGAAUUAGAGAGUUGAAAAUGUUUAAGUGUAGUGUUUUGAAAAUGGUUAACUAUAGUGACUUGAAAUGUCAAUUAGCUAUUUGAAUAUGGUUUGAGUGUAGUGACUUGAAAUGUGAAUAAGUUAUUUGAAGAUUAUCAAGUGUAGUGACUUGAAAAUGAUCAAGUGUAGUUACUUGAAAUUGCAAACUUGUGACUUGAAAAUGGUUUAAGUGUAGUUACUUGAAAUUGUGAACUAGUGAUUUAAAAAAAUAGUCGUGUAGUUACUUGAAAUGUGAAUUAGCUACUUGAAAGUGGUUAAGUAUAGUGACUUGAAAUGAAUGAUUAAGUGUAGUCACUUGAAAAUGAUUAAGUAUAGUUAUUUGAAAUGUGAAGUAGUUACCUGAAAAUGCAUGGCUAAGUAUAGUGACUUGAAAUGUGAAUUAAUAAUUUGAAAAUGAUUAAGUGUAGUAACUUGCAAUGUGAAUUAGUUAUUUGAAAAUGGUUAAGUGUAGUGACUUGAAAUAUCUACUAGUGAUUUAAAAAUGAUUAAGUGCAGUGACUUGAAAUGUGUACUAGUGACUUGAAAAUGGUUAAGUGUAAGUUACUUCAAAAUGGUUAGUAUAGUGACUUGAUGUAACGCCCCGAAAAUGGGUUCCGAGACGUCACACGGUGCUUAGGACCACAAGUAGGCCCAAGCUAACCCUUAUACUAGCGUAACUCAUGAACAACUAAUUAAGAUACAUAAUUCUGAACAAAAUAAGCGGAAGAUGACUCUUUUCUAAAUUUGACCAAUGUAAAACUGAAUUCAGAUAAUUACAACUCUACUUUUACAACAAAACUGAAAUAAAAUACACAACUUUACUGACUGUCUAUGAAACCUCUACUAUACUGACUAUAAAUGGUUGGAAAGCUACUCCAACUAUCACUAAUCAGUACAUAUGAAUAAGAAAAUAAACAACAUAAAUGAAUCUAACUGAAGUCCCCUAAGUAGGAGGACUCUUCAUCUUGUUGGCUGGAAUCUGCAACUGCCUGAAUCUAAAUGUGCAUACUAAGUCUUUUACCUACAUUAUGAGACAAUGUAACACAUAGACAUAUAUGUGGAUCAGUACUUUGAGGAUAUACUGAGUAUAUGGGGGUGCAGUGCAUAAGUAAAAUAAUCUCAUGAUCAUCAUUUAUAAAAUAAUGCAUGCUAAAUGUAAAUGACUCACAUAGCUUGAGUAAUAUGAAAUCUGGAUAUCAUAAAUCAUGAAGAGUAAAGCAUGUAAUAGAAAACUCGUGAGUCAUCACACUUGGUUCUAAAAUCUGUAGUUCUAUCCCCUUCUCAAAACAUAUAGACUAAGUGGUAAAGAGCUCACCUCUGUAUCUGAAAUCUAAGACUGUAACUUUGAAACAAAAAUCUCAAGUAAAACAAUAUCUGAAUAAGCAUGUGAGCCUUUACACUUAGUAUCUAAAAUCUUUAGAGAAAUUACUUUUAAAACAUUUCUUUAUUGGAAAGAAAAAGAAAUAACUUAUCUACAAGGGAAAAUACUUUGAUCUUAAGGGGAUACUUUCAAAAGCUUUUCUUAACUAGUAGGGAAAAUACUCAAAAGCUGUUUAUUUACUUUUACUAGCAGAAAAAAAUACUUUCUUUAAGGGAAAAAUACUUUAAGAAACUACUCUGAAAAUCUUACUACUAGGGAGGUUCUCUUAACCGACAUAAACCAUGCGAGCUACUUGGAGUCCAACGUUUUUGUCCUCCUAAGGAAGAAACCUCACGCUGGGGAAGGUGUCAUACUCUUGCCAGGGAGUAUAACCUAAACUUAGUGAUCACUAUCUCGGCCUUAGGCCCAAAAGUCUCAAUCCUACGGUGGCAUGUAGUUCUGGGGUGUGAAACCAUAGUAACUUACCCAACUCGGUGCUAAAUACUACUCCCUUUAAUUAGCUACGCUCAUCUCGUGGAAAUCCACAUUGAAACUCGCAUAAGGAUUUAUUAGGAAACCAUUUAUGCACUCAAUCAUUUGUUGAAUAACUCUGUAAAGUGGAUUUCAAAACUCAUAUGAGGAUCAAAGAUUAUAUACUACUUAUAUAAUUGAGUAUCAAUAUAUCAAACUCAUGUAAAUGCAUGGCAAAUCAUCAUGCUUCGCAAGGUUUCUCAAAAUGCUUCAAUAAUAUCAAAGUAAUAGCUUCAAAUCACAAUCUCAUAUUCAAUUCAAUGAAAAAAACUAUAAACAAUGUCUCAAAUCAUGUUCAUGGUAUUCAAAGUCACAACAGAGCCUUCUUUAACUCAAGGAAACCAUAAAAUUUCAUAAAUCAAUCACAUCAUGCUCAAAAUUCAUCAACCAGAUACUUUGGGUGUAAACCCUAUAUUCAAAAUCAUAAGAAAUCCAUUAGAAACAUAAUUUUUGGGCACAAGAGCGAAAGGAUUGCUCUUGUUCAAACCCCGCAUACCUUAAUGGUGAUAAAAUUGUUGAAAGAUUGGACCUUCAAGCUUGAUUGAAAGAAACCUUGUAGAGAGCUUUGAAUUCGGAGCUUAACUUCUUGAUUCUUGAGAGGUAAACUUAGAUUUUGUUCUUGGGAAGAGGGGAAGGGUUUUGGAUCGUAACUUGACUGAUUUGGGGCUUAGGGAUUGUAAAUAAUGUGUUUAAAAAUCUCUUAUAACAAUUUAGAGUAAUUAGGGACGAUAUAAGUCAAAACAAAAUAUUUUUGGCACUUGGAAGUGACUUAGACGGCGCCCAAUCAAUCGUACAAGCCAGGUUGGGCGACACCUUGUCAAUCGCCUCAGUUUGAUUGGGCGGCACCUAACCAAUCGCAUACCCUUAUUGCCUCCUAAAAAAAUGCGCAUAACUUUUUGCUCGGGUACUGGAUUAAAGAGAAAUUGGUAUCGUUGGAAAGAUAAUUCGAUUAUCUACAAUUUGGUGUGUCUUGAGCUGGAUAAUUCUAUGUACACAAAAAGUUAUGCAUAUUCAAAAUUGACCCUUAUAGAAUCGAAUAGAAAGAUUUAGUCAAAUCAAAGGCUCUUAGCUCAACUUUGCUCUAAGUGCUUUCUAUGAACAUUUUUCACCUUGAGAGCUCUUCACACACUAGUAUAAUGAUCAUGAAACUAAUAUCCACAUGGGAAUCAUUUUUAUUAGAAUUUACACGUGUAAGAACGACGGUUAGAAUUAUAGCACGAAAAUACGGGGUAUUACAUUAUCUCUCCCUUGUAAUCAUUCAUCCUCGAAUUAUGGAUAGGAACUUUUUUAAGUCUUAGAAGGAUGUAAUAAUUUAGACAUGAUGUUUCUACUAAGAAGGGAUAUAACUGAGUUGAAACUAUCAAACUUACAUCAUGAAACUGAUUUCUGAGAUGACUUGCCUUUGCUUACAAUAAGGAGUUGAUUCAUGAUGAGAGUUCAGAAUUUGCUUGAAGUGGUCAUGAUACAAUCAUACAUAUGGAACUGCGAAGUGAUAACUUAUACAAGCACGAAUUAUUAUACAACGAGACUAAGAUCGUACAAUGUGUUUUACACUGUCUGAGCUGGAAUACUUGGUAAACUAAGAUUAUUCACUGAACAUUUAUGAACUGAGUCAUGACUAAAUAUCUUAAUCUAAAAUUGAUGUCUGAUGCAUGGAAUGAGUUGAGUUUGUAAUUUGCGUGAAUGUGAAGAUUUUACCUUAUGAACUGUCCUUACUCGAGUAACUUUGGAUUGUAAGACUAGCUGGAAAAUUGGAAAUCUAUAGGAGCUUGUCUGAUGGAUUGCUAAACGGGAUUCUAGGCUAUAUGGACAGGAUCAUACUGUCUUCUCAUAGUCAAAUGGAGUAUUUCUUCAACACUCCUCUAAGAAAUUCGAAUAACAUUAGGGAGCAAAUACAUCAUAACAUCGAUACAACUCUAUAGCUUGGAACAUGGUCAUAUAAGUCAUGUGCUAGGAUAGAAUCACUAAGCCUUAGGAAAUAUAACAUCUUACUUUCAAGCUUAGCAACACUUCUUAAAUACUCCCUCAACUAUACUAUUUCCCUUAAAUACCAUACGCAUUUGAUUCAACUUAUUAUUCUCACAUAGUCAUUCAUAAAUACAUCUACUAAUGUCUAAACUGAACUAAAUCCUCAUACCGUACGAUCUAGAGUAGGAAAAAAAAGAAAACUUUUCUUAAAUGCCUCAUAGCCUCCCAAAGAAAAGUACAGACGUCUCCGUACUAUUCCGCAAGACUCUACUAUACACGGCUUCACAGACACCCUUGGACACAUGAACCUUUUGUUCUGAUACCAAGUUUGUAACACCUCAAAAAUGGGUUCCGAGAUGUCACACGGUGCUUAGGACCACAAGUGGUCCCAAGCUAACCCUUAUACUGGCGUAACUCAUGAACAACUAAUUAAGAUACAUAAUUCUAAACAAAAUAAGCGAAAGAUGACUCUUUUCUAAAUUUGACCAAUGUAAACCUGAAUUCAGAUAAUUACACCUCUAUUUUUCCAACAAAACUGAAGUAAAAAUACACAACUUUACUGACUGUCUAUGAAGCCUCUACUAUACUGACUAUAAAUAAUUGGGAAGCUACUCUGACUAUCGCUAAACAGUACAUAUGAAUAAGAAAAUAAACAACAUAAAUGAAUCUAACUGAAGUCCCCGAAGUAGGAUGACUCUUCAUCUUACUGACUGGAAUCUGCAACUACCUGAAUUUGAAUGUGCAUACUAAGUCUUUUACCUACAUAAUGAGACAAUGUAGCACAUUGACAUAUAUGUGGAUCAAUACUUUGAGGAUGUACUGAGUAUAUGGGGGUUUAGUGUAUGAGUAAAACAUAUCUCAUGAUCAUCAUUUAUAAAACAAUGCAUGCUAAAUGUAAAUGACUCACAUAGCUUUAGUAAUAUGAAAUUUGGAUAUCAUAAGUCAUGAAGAGUAAAGCAUAUAAUAGAAAACUCGCGAGUCAUCACACUUAGUUCUGAAAUCUUUAGUUCUAUCCCCUUCUCAAAACAUAUAGACUAAGUGGUAAAGAGCUCACCUCUGUAUCUAAAGCUAAGACUGUAACUUUGAAACAGAAAUCUCAAGUAAAACAAUGUCUGAAUAAGCUUGUGAGCCUUUACACUUAGUAUCUAAAAUCUUUCGGGAAAUUACUUUUAAAACAUUUCUUUAUUGGAAAAAAAAGAAAUAACUUAUCUGCAAGGGAAAAUACUUUGAUCUUAAGGGGAUACUUUCAAAAGCUUUUCUUAACUAGUAGGGAAAAUACUUAAAAGUUGUUUAUUUACUUUUACUAAUAGGGAAAAAUACUUUCUUUAAGGGAAAAAUACUUUAAGAAACUACUCUGAAAAGCUUACUAUUAGGGAGGUUCUCUUAACCGACAUAAACCAUGCAAGCUACAUGGAGUCCAACGUUUUUGUCCUCCUAAGGAAGAAACCUCCCAUUGGGGAAGGUGUCAUACUCUUUCCAGGGAGUAUAACCUCAACUUAGUGAUCACUAUCUUGGCCUUAGGCCUAAAAGUCUCAAUUCUACGGUGGCACGUAGUUCUGGGGUAUAAAACCAUAGUAACUUAUCCAACUCGGUGCUAAAUACUACUCCCUUUAAUUAGCUACGCUCAUUCGUGGAAAUCCACAUUAAAACUCACAUAAGGGUUUAUUAAGAAACCAGUUAUACACUUAAUCAUUAUAUGAAUAACUCUGUAAAGUGGAUUUCAAAACUCAUAUGAGGAUCAAAGAUCAUAUACUACUUAUAUAAUUGAGUAUCACUAUAUCAAACUCAUGUAAAGACAUGGCAAAUCAUCAUGCUUCGCAAGCUUUUCUCAAAAUGCUUUAAUAAUAUCAAAGUAAUAGUUUUAAAUCAAAAUCUCAUAUUCAAUUCAAUGAAAAAAAACUAUAAACAAUGUCUCAAAUCAUGUUCAUGGUAUUCAAAGUUACAAAAGAGCCUUCUUUAACUCAAGAAAAUCAUAAAAUUUCAUAAAUCAAUCACAUCAUGCUCAAAAUUCAUCAACCAGAUACUUUGGGUGUAAACCCUAUAUUCAAAAUCAUAAGAAAUUCGCUAGAAACAUAAUUUUGGGGCACAAGAGCGAAAGGAUUGCUCUUGUUCAAACCCCGCAUACCUUAAUGGUGAUGAAAUUUUUGAAAGAUUGGACCUUCAAGCUUGAUUGAAAGAAUCCUUGUAGAGAACUUUGAAUUUGGAGCUUAACUUCUUGAUUCCUGAGAGGUAAACUUAAAUUUUGUUCUUGGGAAGAAGGGAAGGGUUUUGGAUCAUAACUUGACUGAUUUGGGGCUUAGGGAUUGUAAAUAAUGUGUUUAAAAAUCUCUUAUAACAAUUUGGAGUUAUUGGGGACGGUUUAGGGGUGUGAAAUGACUUCAACACCCUUGAUAUAAGUCAAAACGAAGUGUUUUUGGCACUUUAAAGUGACUUAGGCGGCGCCCAAUCUAUCGCACAAGCCAGGUUGGGCGACACCUUGUCAAUCGCCUAAGUUUGGUUGGGCGGCGCCUAACCAAUCGCAUACCCUUACUGCCUCUUACGAAAAUGGGUAUAACUUUUCGCUCGGGUACUAGAUUAAGAAAUUGGUAUCUUUGGAAAGCUAAUUCGAUUAUCUACAAUUUGGUGGGUCUUGAGCUGGAUAAUUCCAUGUCCACAAAAAGUUAUAAACAUUCAAAGUUGACCCUUACAGAAUCGAAUAGAAAGAUUUAGCCAAAUCAAAGGCUCUUAACUCAACUUUGCUCUAAUUGCUUCGUAUGAACAUUUUUCACCUUGAGAGCUCUUCACACACUAGUAUAAUGAUCAUGAAACUAAUAUCCACAUGGAAAUAAUUUGUAUUAGAGCUUACACGUGUAAGAACGACGGUUAGAAUUCUAGCACAAAAAUACAGGGUAUUACAAUUGAAAUGUCAAUUAACUAUUUGAAAAUGGUUUGAGUGUAGUGACUUGAAAUGCGUACUAGUGAAUAAGUUAUUAAAAUUAUUAAGUGUAGUGUCUUAAAAAUGAUUAAAUGUAGUUACUUGAAAUUGCGAACUUGUGAUUGAUCUAUUUAUAUUUAUCAUGAUGUUUUUUAGUUGUACGCAAAUAUAAAUAUAAUAAGGACUGAAAGUUUAUCUGAUUGGUUUUUAUAAUUUGCAUUUUUAUGUAGCCAAGUGAUGUAGCUAGCGGACCCAUUUCGUCCAUGAAUGCAAGAAGACUACGUGGUGAUAGUGAUCCUAAUGACAAUUGUUGAUUUUGUUGCAAAUUAUCUGAAACAUUCAAUUAUGAUGAUGUAAUUGUUUGCCUGGAGCGAAUCUUAGAAAAUUGAAGGUUUUGUGUUUAAAUUUAAUUUUGAAAUUUGAAGAUACUAGUUAAUGUUGAAAAUUUAGAGUUUGAAGAUG
rnacentral:lncRNA from 1 species